AACGAACGCUGGCGGCGUGGAUAAGACAUGCAAGUCGGACGAGAUUUUUCGUUGUAGCAAUAUGAUGGGAAGUCUAGUGGCGAACGGGUGCUUAACACGUGGGCAACCUGCCAGGAAGUGGGGAUAGCUCGCCGAAAGGCGAAUUAAUACCGCAUGUGAUUAGAGAGGACAUCCUUUCGAAAUUAAAGUCGGGGCAACCUGACGCUUCUUGUGGGGCCCGCGGCCUAUCAGCUAGUUGGUGGGGUAACGGCUCACCAAGGCUUUGACGGGUAGCUGGUCUGAGAGGACGACCAGCCACACUGGGACUGAGACACGGCCCAGACACCUACGGGUGGCAGCAGUCGAGAAUUUUUGACAAUGGGGGAAACCCUGAUCGAGCGACGCCGCGUGGAGGAUGAAGGUCUUCGGAUUGUAAACUCCUGUCAUUGGGGAACAAUGCGUGACGGUUAACUGCCGUCGCGUUGAUAGUACCCGAAGAGGAAGAGACGGCUAACUCCGUGCCAGCAGCCGCCGUAAAAC
rnacentral:rRNA from 1 species